rnacentral:lncRNA from 1 species
AAAUCACCCAAAUUCAAUACAGAGAGAGAACUACCAUUAUAGUUUAUGCAUAUUGCCUUCCAGUUCUUUCUCUGUGCAUAGAAAUAGCCUUUUCAAUGGUGUCAUAGUAUAACAUCCUAUUUUGUAAUUGCCUUUUUCAAUUAACAUUAUAUUAUAAAUGUUUUGCCACAUCAUUACUCUUUUACAGUAUUGCUUACAUUGGUUAUACCAUACUUAUUUAACCAGUCCCCAAUUGUAGGGCAUUUAAGAUUUUUUUACUUUUCUUUUUUCUUUUUUUCUAUUCUAAAGAAUUCAUUGAAUGAACAACUAAGUUGCCAUUGUUGAGGGUAUUCUUAUGUUAAAACAGCCAAAUUAUUUAAAAUAUGGAGAAAGUGAUUUGGUGUCAAAGCAAGGUAACCAACAAGAUGAAACGAUUGCAUGUGAAGUCUUCAUAAGCAUACAUGGUUUCCUUUUUGGGAGUCACAGAGGUCACAGACACAAGCAGCAACUUUUAGGAAACACUGGAAAAGUUGAACCCUGUAUUAUUAUUGAAGACCAAUAACCCAAAAAUGGACUGUGAUUAAUUAGAAUAAAUUGAAAUCAAAUACAGACCGACUUAUCAGGGGACUAUUCUGUCACCUCUUUGUUUCUGUGACAAAUGCAAAGCAAUUCACAACAUCUUUUUCAUUCACAGGUGGAUUUCUCUUUUUGUUUGUUUUUAAUUCUUUAAAUGUUAUCUUUUAGGUUGCACAAAUCAUUGUUCCAUGAAUUAAAGUGUACUUACCAGUUGAUCCUUCUUGCCAGGAAUGCCAUCUCCAACCACACUGAAGAAGUCGGAGAAGUCUGGUUUCAGCAGCCCCUCCCCUUCACAGACCUCCUCCCUGGGAACGGCGUUCACACAGCAUCACCGACCUGUCAUUACAGGACCCAGAGCAAGUCCGCAUGCAACACCAUCGACUCUUCAUUUCCCGACAUCACCCAUUAUCCAGCAGCCUGGGCCUUACUUCUCACACCCAGCCAUCCGCUAUCACCCUCAGGAGACGCUGAAAGAAUUUGUCCAACUUGUCUGCCCUGAUGCUGGUCAGCAGGCUGGACAGGUGGGGUUCCUCAAUCCCAAUGGGAGCAGCCAAGGCAAGGUGCACAACCCAUUCC